ensembl:lncRNA
UGAGUUUCCUGUUCACAGUUCCCCAGAUUUGUCACUGCUGAAGGAUUAAAGCCCCGAGAGCCUCUGACACAGGCGUCUCCCAGAGCCCACUUUCUCUGGGUUGCCUGACAAGAUGUGAGCUGUUACUCGCGUGUGACACAGAUCUGACCCCAAGCUCUCUCACAGAGGGAGAGAAGAAUUCACUAUGUCUUCCGGGGCUGGCUUCAAACUUCACUUUUGGUUUUAACAACCAGCCUGAAGCUAGCAGGCUUCAUCAGAGGGGAGAAACCCUUUGGGGCUAUCCUGAGCAUUUCCAUCUCUGCCCAGACCAGCCGUCUCCAAUCCCUCGAAGAUGAAGAGCCCAGAAGGUGGACACGGCCCCUAAAGUUGGUGAUGCCCCCCUGAGAAGCAGGACCCCUUGGCACAGGACACAGAGCUGUGUUGCCUGCCCCUGGCCCUCUCAGCCUGUUCUCAUCGACAGCUGAUGCCCCCCUCCUCAGCUCCAGGAGAAUAUGAAAGUGUCACUCAGAGUUGUCUAUUUCAUGGCACUGCUGAUGUCUUUGGAGGCUGGUAAGUUAAACAUACCAUCUACUGAGAAAAGCCAUGAUCCAGAAUGCAGGAAAUACCUUCCCGGCAGGGUUGCUUUUCUUACUGGUC